UCCGGUUUAACACCGGCAGUCUCACUAGAGUGCCCAGCCUAACUGAUGGCAACUAAGGGCGAGGGUUGCGCUCGUUGCGGGACUUAACCCAACAUCUCACGACACGAGCUGACGACAGCCAUGCAGCACCUGUCUCCGGUCCAGCCGAACUGAAGGAAACCGUCUCUGAUUUCCGCGACCGGGAUGUCAAGGGCUGGUAAGGUUCUUCGCGUUGCUUCGAAUUGAACCACAUGCUCCACCGCUUGUGCGGGCCCCCGUCAAUUCCUUUGAGUUUCAGCCUUGCGACUGUACUCCCCAGGCGGCAUAUUUAACGCGUUAGCUCCGGCACAGAUCAACUGAAUGACCCACACCAAAUAUGCAUCGUUUAGGGCGUGGACUAC
rnacentral:misc_RNA from 1 species